rnacentral:rRNA from 1 species
UACGUAGGGUGCAAGCGUUAAUCGGAAUUAUUGGGCGUAAAGGGCGCGUAGGCGGUUUGACAAGUCUGAUGUGAAAUCUCUGGGCUCAACCCAGAGUCUGCAUUAGAAACUGUCGGGCUUGAGUAUGGGAGAGGUGAGUGGAAUUUCCGGUGUAGCGGUGAAAUGCGUAGAUAUCGGAAGGAACACCUGUGGCGAAAGCGGCUCACUGGACCAUAACUGACGCUGAGGCGCGAAAGCUAGGGGAGCAAACAGG